rnacentral:rRNA from 3 species
AAAACGACUCUCGGCAACGGAUAUCUCGGCUCUCGCAUCGAUGAAGAACGCAGCGAAAUGCGAUACUUGGUGUGAAUUGCAGAAUCCCGCGAACCAUCGAGUCUUUGAACGCAAGUUGCGCCCGAAGCCUUUUGGCCGAGGGCACGUCUGCCUGGGUGUCACG